GAUGAACGCUGGCGGCGUGCUUAACACAUGCAAGUCGAACGGUGAAGGCGGAGCUUGCACUGCUGGAUCAGUGGCGAACGGGUGAGUAACACGUGAGCAAUCUGCCCCUGACUCUGGGAUAAGCGCUGGAAACGGCGUCUAAUACUGGAUACGAGCUGCGAAGGCAUCUUCAGCAGCUGGAAAGAAUUUCGGUCAGGGAUGAGCUCGCGGCCUAUCAGCUUGUUGGUGAGGUAAUGGCUCACCAAGGCGUCGACGGGUAGCCGGCCUGAGAGGGUGACCGGCCACACUGGGACUGAGACACGGCCCAGACUCCUACGGGAGGCAGCAGUGGGGAAUAUUGCACAAUGGGCGAAAGCCUGAUGCAGCAACGCCGCGUGAGGGACGACGGCCUUCGGGUUGUAAACCUCUUUUAGCAGGGAAGAAGCGAAAGUGACGGUACCUGCAGAAAAAGCGCCGGCUAACUACGUG
rnacentral:rRNA from 1 species